rfam:Musa acuminata subsp. malaccensis Doubled-haploid Pahang (DH-Pahang) genomic chromosome, chr3
CCCUUUUCGGAGACAGUGUUCCUCCAAAACUU